rnacentral:misc_RNA from 1 species
GAUGAAGAACGCAGCGAAAUGCGAUAAGUAAUGUGAAUUGCAGAAUUCCGUGAAUCAUCGAAUCUUUGAACGCACAUUGCGCCCCCUGGUAUUCCGGGGGGCAUGCCUGUCCGACCGUCAUUGCUGCCCUCAAGCACGGCUUGUGUGUUGGGCCCCGUCCUCCGAUCCCGGGGGACGGGCCCGAAAGGCAGCGGCGGCACCGCGUCCGGUCCUCGAGCGUAUGGGGCUUUGUCACCCGCUCUGUAGGCCCGGCCGGCGCUUGCCGAUCAACCCAAAUUUUUAUCCAGGUUGACCUCGGAUCAGGUAGGGAUACCCGCUGAACUUAAGCAUAUCAAUAAGCGGAGGA